CCAUUCUUUUCCAUUUCAUCUAUGGAGUCUGUGGGUUUGUGUUUAGAUCCCAUUUGCAAGCUUUUUUCAAUAUCCUGAACCGGGAAGGGAGGAGCAUCCUAGGAAAGAAGAAUGUAGCUGAAGAGAUGGCUCAGCACAUAAGAACACAGACCCAGAAACCUUUUCUUUUCUAAUGAGACACAGAGAGAAGAUCCAAAUGGGAGAAGAGGUGAGGGGCAACUGGGAGAAACAGAGGAUGGGGAAACUGUAUUGAUUGUAUUGUAUGAGAAAAAAAAUCUAUGUUUAAUAAAAGGGGGGAAAUGGAAGGGUGUAAAUCAAGGGGAAAACCCCCAAGAAAAAUAAAACAGAAACCUUUAAGCUUGUCUUAAAAUACUGAUGUAAGCAGCCACUUACAGUUCCUUCCUUCCUUCCUUCCUUCCUUCCUUCCUUCCUUCCUUCCUUCCUUCCUUCCUUCCUUCCUUCCUUCCUAAUGAAAGGAAAUAAAACUUGAGACCUGUGAUUCAUGUAAUG
rnacentral:lncRNA from 1 species